CCUACGGGUGGCAGCAGUGAGGAAUAUUGGUCAAUGGGCGUAAGCCUGAACCAGCCAAGUCGCGUGAGGGAUGAAGGUUCUAUGGAUCGUAAACCUCUUUUAUAAGGGAAUAAAGUGUGGGACGUGUCCUAUAUUGUAUGUACCUAAUGAAUAAGGAUCGGCUAACUCCGUGCCAGCAGCCGCGGUAAUACGGAGGAUGCGAGCGUUAUCCGGAUUUAUUGGGUUUAAAGGGUGCGUAGGCGGCCUUUUAAGUCAGCGGUGAAAGUCUGUGGCUCAACCAUAGUAUUGCCGUUGAAACUGGGAGGCUUGAGUAUGUUAGAGGCAGGCGGAAUUCGUGGUGUAGCGGUGAAAUGCUUAGAUAUCACGCAGAACCCCGGUUGCGAAGGCAGCCUGCCAAGCCAUGACUGACGCUGAGGCACGAAAGCGUGGGGAGCAAACAGGAUUAGAUACCCGAGUAGUC
rnacentral:rRNA from 1 species